rnacentral:rRNA from 1 species
AAGAUGAGUAUGCGUUCUAUUAGCUAGUUGGAGAGGUAACGGCUCCCCAAGGCGACGAUAGAUAGGGGGUUCUGAGAGGGAUGUCCCCCACACUGGUACUGAGAUACGGACCAGACUCCUACGGGAGGCAGCAGUGAGGAAUAUUGGACAAUGGUCGGAAGACUGAUCCAGCCAUGCCGCGUGCAGGAUGAAGGUCCUAUGGAUUGUAAACUGCUUUUGUAAGGGAAGAAUAAGGAGUACGUGUACUUUGAUGACGGUACCUUACGAAUAAGCAUCGGCUAACUCCGUGCCAGCAGCCGCGGUAAUACGGAGGAUGCGAGCGUUAUCCGGAAUCAUUGGGUUUAAAGGGUCCGUAGGCGGGCUGAUAAGUCAGAGGUGAAAGCGCUUAGCUCAACUAAGCAACUGCCUUUGAAACUGUCAGUCUUGAAUGAUUGUGAAGUAGUUGGAAUGUGUAGUGUAGCGGUGAAAUGCUUAGAUAUUACACAGAACACCGAUAGCGAAGGCAUAUUACUAACAAUUUAUUGACGCUGAUGGACGAAAGCGUGGGGAGCGAACAGG